rnacentral:rRNA from 1 species
GAUGAACGCUGGCGGCGUGCCUAAUACAUGCAAGUCGAGCGAACGGACGAGAAGCUUGCUUCUCUGAUGUUAGCGGCGGACGGGUGAGUAACACGUGGAUAACCUACCUAUAAGACUGGGAUAACUUCGGGAAACCGUAGCUAAUACCGGAUAAUAUUUUGAACCGCAUGGUUCAAAAGUGAAAGACGGCCUUGCUGUCACUUAUAGAUGGAUCCGCGCUGCAUUAGCUAGUUGGUAAGGUAACGGCUUACCAAGGCAACGAUGCAUAGCCGACCUGAGAAGGUGAUCGGCCACACUGGAACUGAGACACGGUCCAGACUCCUACGGGAGGCAGCAGUAGGGAAUCUUCCGCAAUGGGCGAAAGCCUGACGGAGCAACGCCGCGUGAGUGAUGAAGGUCUUCGGAUCGUAAAACUCUGUUAUUAGGGAAGAACAUAUGUGUAAGUAACUGUGCACAUCUUGACGGUACCUAAUCAGAAAGCCACGGCUAACUACGUG